GAUGAACGCUGGCGGCGUGCCUAAUACAUGCAAGUCGAGCGAACGGACGAGAAGCUUGCUUCUCUGAUGUUAGCGGCGGACGGGUGAGUAACACGUGGAUAACCUACCUAUAAGACUGGGAUAACUUCGGGAAACCGGAGCUAAUACCGGAUAAUAUUUUGAACCGCAUGGUUCAAAAGUGAAAGACGGUCUUGCUGUCACUUAUAGAUGGAUCCGCGCUGCAUUAGAUAGUUGGUAAGUUAACGGCUUACCAAGGCAACGAUGCAUAGACGACCUGAGAGGCGGAUCGCCCACAUGGGAACUGAGACACGGUCCAGACUCCUACGGGAGGGAGCAGUAGGGAAUCUUCCGCAAUGGGCGAAAGCCUGACGGAGCAACGCCGCGUGAGUUAUGAAGGUCUUCGGAGCGUAAAACUCUGUUACUAGGGAAGAACAUAUGUGUAAGUAACUGUGCCCAGCGUGACGGUAACUAAUAAGAAAGCAACGGCUAACUACGUG
rnacentral:rRNA from 1 species